ensembl:ncRNA F47B7.11 ncRNA
GUAGGCUUGACAUUCGUCCUUGCAUUUGUUCUUGAAACAAGAAAAAUGUAGAAAAAAGGACUAACACAUAUCGUGUCAAAGGACUAUAAAACUAUAAAACAACGCAGUUUUCUUUCACCAUCUCCUUUUCUUUUUCUAGCCUGUUUCA